GCGGUGGCAGGAACCAAUCGGCGGAGGCCAAGGCGGAAGUCGGCGUGACGACAGCAAUAGGCGGGGCUGAAACGGCCCAGGGGGCGGGCGUUUGAAAUCAGUGCUUUGGAGUAGACUCCAAACAUCGUUUUAUACCUUCAAGAACCAAUUACUUAAUAUCUCUUCCGUCUUUUCCUUCCCCGACCCCCUCCCAGACUCCUUCAUUCCGGUACUGCGCGGACGGAAAGCCCCGGGUAGCCGACAGCACGGCCCCGGCUAGCGAGAGAGCGUAGAAAAGGAUUACACCAAACUGUUUAAAUCCAACGGCUCCUGCUUCCUUUCUUCUGAGCUAGACCCAACAAGCCUAGAGAGUUGGGCUACGGAAAGACUAGUAUUUUCAUUUAAUUGGAUAUGAAGAAAGAACAAAUAUGUACGGGGGCAACCACGAUCUUUAUAAAGAACAUAAGUUCCAGGAAAGCAGGAACCUUGUCUCUCUUGUUCACUGGUGUAUCCUCUGCAUAUAGAGCAGUGCCUGGCACAUAAUAGGUGCUGAGAAACUUUGUCUAAGAUUGGAAUUACUUCUUCCUUGAAUAUUUGGUCAAAUUUACUGGAGUAGCCAUUUGGGAUCUAGAG